AAACUGUCCGCAGUCGACCCUGGACGAGCAGCCAAUCUGGAAGCCGAACUGUCUGUAGUCGACUGUGGACAUUGCAUCCUGGACCUGAGGCCCCAAAUGUGGGAAUCUCGACUGCAUAAUUUCUGGUAGUGGGGGACUGCGUUUGCGCUCUCCCCUG
rnacentral:snRNA from 1 species